rnacentral:rRNA from 1 species
CCUACGGGUGGCAGCAGUGAGGAAUAUUGGUCAAUGGGCGCGAGCCUGAACCAGCCAAGUAGCGUGAAGGAUGAAGGCCCUACGGGUUGUAAACUUCUUUUAUAAAGGAAUAAAGUGAGGCACGUGUGCCUUUUUGUAUGUACCUUAUGAAUAAGGAUCGGCUAACUCCGUGCCAGCAGCCGCGGUAAUACGGAGGAGCCGAGCGUUAUCCGGAUUUAUUGGGUUUAAAGGGGGCGUUGAUGGGUUGUUAAGUCCGUUGUGAAAGUUUGCGGCUCAACCGUAAAAUUGCCGUUGAUACUGGCAGCCUUGAGUACAGUUGAGGUAGGCGGAAUUCGUGGUGUAGCGGU